rnacentral:rRNA from 1 species
UACGGAGGGUGCAAGCGUUAUCCGGAAUCAUUGGGUUUAAAGGGUCCGCAGGCGGUCUUAUAAGUCAGUGGUGAAAGCCUACAGCUCAACUGUAGAACUGCCAUUGAUACUGUAAGACUUGAAUUCGAUCGAAGUGGGCGGAAUAUGACAUGUAGCGGUGAAAUGCUUAGAUAUGUCAUAGAACACCGAUAGCGAAGGCAGCUCACUAGGUCUGGAUUGACGCUCAGGGACGAAAGCGUGGGGAGCAAAC